AAUAGAUACCCCGGUAGUCCACGCCGUAAACGAUGAGUGCUAAGUGUUAGAGGGUUUCCGCCCUUUAGUGCUGCAGCUAACGCAUUAAGCACUCCGCCUGGGGAGUACGGUCGCGAGACUGAAACUCAAAGGAAUUGACGGGGGCCCGCACAAGCGGUGGAGCAUGUGGUUUAAUUCGAAGCAACGCGAAGAACCUUACCAGGUCUUGACAUCCUCUGACAACUCUAGAGAUAGAGCGUUCCCCCUUCGGGGGACAGAGUGACAGGUGGUGCAUGGUUGUCGUCAGCUCGUGUCGUGAGAUGUUGGGUUAAGUCCCGCAACGAGCGCAACCCUUGAUCUUAGUUGCCAGCAUUUAGUUGGGCACUCUAAGGUGACUGCCGGUGACAAACCGGAGGAAGGUGGGGAUGACGUCAAAUCAUCAUGCCCCUUAUGACCUGGGCUACACACGUGCUACAAUGGAUGGUACAAAGGGCUGCAAGACCGCGAGGUCAAGCCAAUCCCAUAAAACCAUUCUCAGUUCGGAUUGUAGG
rnacentral:rRNA from 1 species